UAGAUGUUAGUAAAAUAUUACAAGGCCUUGUCAUGACCUAAUUGCUGGCCAAAACCGGCACAUCUCA
rnacentral:tRNA from 1 species